rnacentral:rRNA from 1 species
AGAGCUCAAAUUUAAAAUCUGGCAGUUUUGCUGUCCGAGUUGUAAUCUAGAGAAGCGUUUUCCGUGCUGGACCGUGUACAAGUCUCUUGGAAUGGAGCGUCGUAGAGGGUGACAAUCCCGUCUUUGACACGGACUGCCGGUGCUUUUGUGAUGCGCUCUCAAAGAGUCGAGUUGUUUGGGAAUGCAGCUCAAAAUGGGUGGUAAACUCCAUCUAAAGCUAAAUACAGGCGAGAGACCGAUAGCGAA